UGCAGCUCAAGUGACAUUGAGGAGAAACUGUGCAAUUAUCCAGCUGCACUGACACCAUUAGGGAGCUUGUUCUGGAUCACAGUUGUCUUGAGUGUGAAUUUGGAGUUUUUGCUUUGUUGUGGAGUUAUUUGGAAGAAGAUGCGGUUUAUGUUUCCUGCAAUUGUCCCAGUUCACCAAGUAAGACUGAUUUUUCAGUCAAUGGUGUGUUAAAGUUUUUUUAAAAGUCUUUUUUAUGUUUUGAAGAACUUCAGAAAAAAAGACUAAAGUUUUAAAGUAUCUGUGAAUCAAGUCUUCGGCAAUGCAAUGGACAAUAACCCUCUGCAUUUGGUUUGAGAGGAAAAAUUGGGUCAAAAAGGAGAAGAAGAAUGAAUUAAAGCAUCACCAGUUGGUUCAACAAUUCCGUUCACUUCUGCUGACAAGAAAGGAUGUUGGCUGAUGGCAUGGAGAUCUAUAACUCACUUGGAAGGGAGCUGCUAAACACAAUGGCUCACAAAUCUUCAUCUAGGGCAGCAAUACUUACAAGUACUGUGGCAUAGAUGUGUGAGAAUGAUUUCAUUAUUGAAACCAUUGCUAAGGGAAGGAAUUGAGGAGGUGAAAAUGGGCAGAUACUGAUUCUGCACCAGAAGCUCCUAGAACAUAAAACAUCUAUAGAUGCUAGCUGAGAAUUUUGCAAGUGUGUCUGAAUGCCAAAUCAACUGAG